rnacentral:rRNA from 1 species
UACGAAGGGGGCUAGCGUUGUUCGGAAUUACUGGGCGUAAAGCGCGCGCAGGCGGCUAUCCAAGUCAGUGGUGAAAGCCCGGAGCUCAACUCCGGAACUGCCAUUGAAACUGUUUAGCUUGAGGACGAGAGAGGUGAGUGGAAUUCCCAGUGUAGAGGUGAAAUUCGUAGAUAUUGGGAAGAACACCGGUGGCGAAGGCGGGUCUCUGGGCAGUAACUGGACGCUGAAGG